AAGGGAAAGAAAUCAGGAAUGUGCCAAGGUGGAGCGAAACUGAAGUAUGAAACUACCACAAACAUCCAUACUUCUCACCAGUAUUACAAUGAAUUUCCUCCGGAGUUGAACGUGGUUUAUGUACCCGUACACGUUGUCGUUGAAUACAUCAAACAUGUUAGAGAUUUCUACCACGAGGUAACAAGACAAUUAGUUCUAAACAAGGGAGGAAAGAAUGAUCGACUAUGUACUACUGGCAAACGUACCC
rnacentral:rRNA from 1 species